GUGGAAGUGGGAGUUCGGGUGAUUUGGAUUACACCCGAGAGAAGGGGCUGGUUGAUGCAGCUUUUGGUUAAAUAAUUAAAGGUUCAUUUUUGCUCAAUUUUGAAGAUGCUGUCUGAUCAGAGAAAAAAGGCUUGCAGGAAAAGCUCUAGUGAAGCUAAUCAAGAGACGGCCGUCUGUGAUCUCUAAGUGUGUUAUCUGCCUUACCAACAAGUUGCAGGAUUCCAAUGCCGAGGAAUAUGCAGUGCUGGGUUCUUGUUCGGUCCUUGCCUCACAAACGGUUCUUAAACAGUUGACUACGGAUCUGAAGUCAUUCUCUUCAUUUAUCAUGGCUAUUCUCUCAAGGUAUUUCCAU